CCUACGGGGGGCAGCAGUGAGGAAUAUUGGUCAAUGGCCGCAGGGCUGAACCUGCCAAGUCGCGUGAGGGAUGACGGUCCUAUGGAUUGUAAACCUCUUUUGUCAGGGAGCAAAGGGCGCCACGUGUGGCGCUUUGCGAGUACCUGAAGAAAAAGCAUCGGCUAACUCCGUGCCAGCAGCCGCGGUAAUACGGAGGAUGCGUGCGUUAUCCGGAUUUAUUGGGUUAAAGGGGCGCGCAGGCGGAAUGUAAAGUCAGCGGUAAAAUUUCGGGGGUCAACCCCGUCGUGCCGUUGAAACUGGCGGUCUUGAGUGAGCGAGAAGUAUGCGGAAUGCGUGGUGUAGCAGUGAAAUGCGUAGAUAUCACGCAGAACUCCGAUUGCGAAGGCAGCAUACCGGCGCUCAACUGACGCUCAUGCACGAAAGCGUGGGUAUCGAACAGGAUUAGAUACCCGAGUAGUC
rnacentral:rRNA from 1 species